rnacentral:misc_RNA from 1 species
GAUGAAGAACGCAGCGAAAUGCGAUAAGUAAUGUGAAUUGCAGAAUUCAGUGAAUCAUCGAAUCUUUGAACGCGCCUUGCACCCUUUGGCAUUCCGAAGGGUAUGCUCGUUUGAGUGUCAUUGUACUCUCACACUCCCACUCUUUUGGAUUGGGAGCGGUGGACUUGGGUGUUGCUGCUUCACUGUGGCUCGCCUCAAAUGGAGUAGUGCAACUCUCGGUUGGACAUAGUACGGCGUGAUAAGUGUCUUCGCCGGCGCCUCACUAGAGGGUGGCCGAUCGGGAGCUCUGUGCUUCAAACCGUCUUCGGACAAUCUCUGACAACUUGACCUCAAAUCGAGUAGGACUACCCGCUGAACUUAAGCAUAUCAAUAAGCGGAGGA